AAUAUUGGGCAAUGGGCGCAAGCCUGAUCCAGCCAUGCCGCGUGUGUGAUGAAGGCCUUAGGGUUGUAAAGCACUUUCGCCGAUGAAGAUAAUGACUGUAGUCGGAGAAGAAGCCCCGGCUAACUUCGUUCCAGCAGCCGCGGUAAUACGAAGGGGGCUAGCGUUGUUCGGAAUUACUGGGCGUAAAGCGUACGUAGGCGGAUUGUUAAGUGAGGGGUGAAAUCCCGAGGCUCAACCUCGGAACUGCCUUUCAUACUGGCAAUCUUGAGUCCGGGAGAGGUGAGUGGAACUCCUAGUGUAGAGGUGAAAUUCGUAGAUAUUAGGAAGAACACCAGUGGCGAAGGCGGCUCACUGGCCCGGAACUGACGCUGAGGUACGAAAGCGUGGGGAGCAAACAGG
rnacentral:rRNA from 1 species